GGUGUCACUUUUCUUUCCGUAGGAGGCAGAGUCAUCUGCAGAAUGGAGACUGCAAGCCCACGGAAGGGACACCAGCAGAGCUGGGGUGCUGGGCCGCGGCAUUGCCCGGACGCUGCUUCUCUGCUGUCUCCCCAGCAGGAUGGGCCCCGAGAGCGGGCCUGGCCUGUCCUGCUGACCACUCACCCCCAGCACCGUGAGCAGGCCCGGCUCGGGGCACACGUGUGGAGCGUGUGAACGAUGAGUGAGCACAGCAAACAGACCUCCGGCGCAAGAGGUCGUGUGGGCCCUUUCUGGGACAGCGUAGCGGCCAGGACGUAGGUGAAGACAGGGAGCCGAUCUAGUACUGACUGUUGGUGAGCUUGCCUGGAGGUGAACCCGGCAGACACGGUCUUUCCUGAUGGUCUUGUCAUCUCCGAGGCCCUGUCACCAAGGACACACGCCUUCGCUUUCUCCAUCCGGUCCCAGGAGGGGCAGCGGCAGCGGGUCAGCUGGUGGCAGGAGCCUCGGGGCCAGGCUUCUCCGCGGACACGGGCAUCGGGUCUGGCACCAGCUGUUUCUGCGGGGAUCCUGGGGGAGUCCGGGGGCCCCGGGGGUUUGGGAUGAGGGCGAGAACGCAGAGGCCUCUGGGGAGAAUGAGAGUGAGCAGCGGGGGGGGGGAGCAGGAUGAGCUGGAAGCGCACAGGUGGGAUGGCUCUCCACACUCAGGAACUCCCGCUCAGGUCAUGCCCCGGACCUGCGGGCACGCUGAGCUCCUUCCUGGGUCCCGCUCACGCCCUGCCAGCCGCCCUCCAUGUCGCUGCCCUGCAUGUCACUGUCCGAGCUGCUCCCGCUACAGGCCCCAUCGCGCAGCUUGCGGGGGACUCGUGCUGCUCCCCGUGGCUUUGUGAGUGCAGACCCACUGCUCCUUGAGGAUCUUCUUAAGCAAAUCCCCUGUGAGCUUGGCGCUCGUGUUUCCGGUGGAAAACUGAUGCCGUGCUAAAAAGAUGCCCUGGCCCACUCCAUCCCCGUUCACCUGUCAGGUGUCACUCCUGCCACGUGGGUCCACGGGGAGGGGCCGGGUGCGUACAGAGCGGCAGGCCGAGCACAGGUGCCCCCGCGGCUCUGAAAGGGAGCCUUCAAGCCUCUGGAAGGAGAGGCUGGGCAGGGGCCACCCACACUGUCCGCCCGCGGAGCUGGCAAAGGGUGUGACUGUCCCCUGAGCUGGCAGCAGGCACCUGGUGGAGUGAGAGGAGGAGGAGGACGGGACUGGCCACGUCCCCACCAUUGUCAGCUGUGCGCUCCUGCCUCUGCCUGCAGACUUCCUCCCCUUGGCCGGCGGCUGACCCAGCUGAGCCCACACCAGUGGAGAUCCGGACGCCCUGGUCUCUCAGCAGAGCUGGCCUCAGGCUGAGGGCCAGGAGGGGCGGCAAGGCCCAGCCCCCAGCCAUCCACACAGUGGGUCCCCCAAAAUGCUGGCUGCAUGGUGUUGAGAUCAACAUAGAGGUCAACAAAAUGCUGGCUGCAUGGUGUUGAGAUCAACAUAGAGGUCAACAAAAUGCUGGCUGCACGGUGUUGAGAUCAACAUGGAGAACCUGACGUGCGUGACCUCUGACUUCAGUCAGCACAGUGUGGUUCUCAGAAUCUGAAUUUCAGCAACGUUUAUCAGCUGUGUAUGCGCCAAGGAUGUACUAUUGAUGGCAAUGAACAAUGUAUAUUUAUCAAAUAAUUAAAUGUCUGGUUGCUA